AUGCUCACUUCAGCAGCACAUACACUAAAAUUGGAAUGAUACAGAGAAGAUUUACUCAGAGAAGCCCCCUGAGUAAGGAUGACAAGCAGUUUCUACAUGUAGUCUAGUGAAGA
rnacentral:snRNA from 1 species